rnacentral:autocatalytically_spliced_intron from 2 species
GAGAGCCCAGUGCGGGAGAUCUGCACGCUGGGUUCGAUGAGCGGGAUGUGGAAACGGGGUUACGGCGAGGUUAUUGGGGCACCGCCAGACGAAAGCGGCGGUAACAGACAAACCGAGCCUACCGCUACCGCGCCACAUCUCGACUCUAC